rnacentral:rRNA from 1 species
UUUCCGGUUGAUUCUGCCGGAGGACAUUUGCUAUUGGGAUUCGAUUUAGCCAUGCUAGUCGAGCGAGUUCAGACUCGCGGCGCAUAGCUCAGUAACACGUGGCCAAGCUACCCUUCAGUCAGCGAUACCCUCGGGAAACUGAGGUUAACAGCUGAUACAAAACGCCAGCUGGAAUGCGGCGUUUCAGAAAGAGAUCGCUGAAGGAUGCGGCUGCGGCCGAUUAGGUAGACGGUGGGGUAACGGCCCACCGUGCCAGUAAUCGGUACGGGUGAUGAGAGUCAGAGCCCGGAGACGGAAUCUGAGACAAGAUUCCGGGCCCUACGGGGCGCAGCAGGCGCGAAACCUUUACACUGCACGGAAGUGCGAUAGGGGAAUCCCAAGUGCGAGGGCAUAUUAGCCCUCGCUUUUCUCGACUGUAAGGUGGUCGACGAAUAAGAGCUGGGCAAGACCGGUGCCAGCCGCCGCGGUAAUACCGGCAGCUCAAGUGAUGUCCCAUAUUAUUGGGCCUAAAGCGUCCGUAGCU